AAGACCCUUACCAGGUCUUGCCAUCCUUUGACCACUCUAGAGAUAGAGCUUCCCCUUCGGGGCCAAAGUGCCAGGUGGUGCAUGGUGGUCGUCAGCUCGUGUCGUGAGAUGUUGGGUUAAGUCCCGCAACGAGCCCAACCCUUAUUGUUAGUUCCCAUCAUUCAGUUGGCCACUCUACCAAGACUCCCGGUGCCAACCCGGAGGAAGGUGGGGAGGACGUCAAAUCUUCAUCCCCCUUAUGCCCUGGGCUCCCCACGUGCUCCAAUGGGAAGUACAACGAGUGGGGAAGUCGCGAGGCUAAGCUAAUUUCUUAAAGCUUCUCUCAGUUCGGAUUCCAGGCUGCAACUCCCCUCCAGGAACCCGGAAUCGCUAGUAAUCGCGGAUCAC
rnacentral:rRNA from 1 species